AUGGCUCUCGGGUGACGAGCGGCGGACGGGUGAGUAAUGUCUGGGAAACUGCCUGAUGGAGGGGGAUAACUACUGGAAACGGUAGCUAAUACCGCAUAACGUCGCAAGACCAAAGUGGGGGACCUUCGGGCCUCAUGCCAUCAGAUGUGCCCAGAUGGGAUUAGCUAGUAGGUGGGGUAACGGCUCACCUAGGCGACGAUCCCUAGCUGGUCUGAGAGGAUGACCAGCCACACUGGAACUGAGACACGGUCCAGACUCCUACGGGAGGCAGCAGUGGGGAAUAUUGCACAAUGGGCGCAAGCCUGAUGCAGCCAUGCCGCGUGUGUGAAGAAGGCCUUCGGGUUGUAAAGCACUUUCAGCGGGGAGGAAGGCGUUAAGGUUAAUAACCUUGGCGAUUGACGUUACCCGCAGAAGAAGCACCGGCUAACUCCGUGCCAGCAGCCGCGGUAAUACGGAGGGUGCAAGCGUUAAUCGGAAUUACUGGGCGUAAAGCGCACGCAGGCGGUCUGUCAAGUCGGAUGUGAAAUCCCCGGGCUCAACCUGGGAACUGCAUUCGAAACUGGCAGGCUAGAGUCUUGUAGAGGGGGGUAGAAUUCCAGGUGUAGCGGUGAAAUGCGUAGAGAUCUGGAGGAAUACCGGUGGCGAAGGCGGCCCCCUGGACAAAGACUGACGCUCAGGUGCGAAAGCGUGGGGAGCAAACAGGAUUAGAUACCCUGGUAGUCCACGCCGUAAACGAUGUCGAUUUGGAGGUUGUGCCCUUGAGGCGUGGCUUCCGGAGCUAACGCGUUAAAUCGACCGCCUGGGGAGUACGGCCGCAAGGUUAAAACUCAAAUGAAUUGACGGGGGCCCGCACAAGCGGUGGAGCAUGUGGUUUAAUUCGAUGCAACGCGAAGAACCUUACCUGGUCUUGACAUCCACAGAACUUUCCAGAGAUGGAUUGGUGCCUUCGGGAACUGUGAGACAGGUGCUGCAUGGCUGUCGUCAGCUCGUGUUGUGAAAUGUUGGGUUAAGUCCCGCAACGAGCGCAACCCUUAUCCUUUGUUGCCAGCGGUUAGGCCGGGAACUCAAAGGAGACUGCCAGUGAUAAACUGGAGGAAGGUGGGGAUGACGUCAAGUCAUCAUGGCCCUUACGACCAGGGCUACACACGUGCUACAAUGGCAUAUACAAAGAGAAGCGACCUCGCGAGAGCAAGCGGACCUCAUAAAGUAUGUCGUAGUCCGGAUUGGAGUCUGCAACUCGACUCCAUGAAGUCGGAAUCGCUAGUAAUCGUAGAUCAGAAUGCUACGGUGAAUACGUUCCCGGGCCUUGUACACACCGCCCGUCACACCAUGGGAGUGGGUUGCAAAAGAAGU
rnacentral:rRNA from 1 species